GCCUAAACGACAGGCUAAAUUCUAAAAUCUAAAAACAAAGACCACGAAGAACUAACACCUCCCUAGCCCAAACCCCACGAACCCAAUCCUCCCUAAACCAAACCCCUCGACUCCGACUGAACUCAGAUAGACCAUCGGCUCACAUCGUGAACCCAGGAAGCGGCAGUGAGCCAGUGAUGGCGGCGGCCACACCGAUAGUGAGCUGCUCUUCUCUUUCUCUUUUCGAAUUUGGCUUGUGUAAUCUUAAUUCCUACUUCCCAACAUUAAAUCGUGGCAUCACACCGAUACAACAAUAAAUUAAAACCAUUGGAAAAACGAAAUUGAAAAAUAUUUACUUCAUUUCGUGGCCACUGCCAGUGAGGUGUGUAAAUAUUCAGUCAUAUUUGUGUUGAUUUUUUCAAUGACAUUUUGGGUUGUGGUUUUGAAGUUUUUCAUGUUGGCUGUUAAGAUUGAAUUCCUAUUAUUUGGGAAGAUGCUAUUUGUUUAUAUGGGGGGUAAAUUAUCUGAAAUUUAGGACUUUCUGUGAUAGUUUAUAGUUAUGCACAGUAGGUGUUUGUCAAAAUGUUUGUGCCAGUCUGUAGUGAUAACUGUACAGUCAAAGCAAUAUUAUUUGCUUUGGUUUUAUUGCAAAAUUAACUUGAAGAAAGAAAGAAAAUUGAGUUUAAUUUUAUCUUCACUGCUAAAUUAUAUAUUCGAAACAUCAUAAAUCCAAAAAAAAAAAAAAAAAAAAAUUGAACUAGAAUAAUUAUUAUUUGUGCAGAAUAUUGGUACCCUUUUUAUAGCUCCAGUUUACAACAAGUCUUGUAAACUACAGGAAUAAAGUUAAGGGAUCGACUAUUAUGCACUUGGUAAACUAAUAGUCUUAGAGUCUCAGGAUCACAUUAUUUAUUCAUUGCAUUCUAACUACAUACCAACACUUUUCUUAUUGAAAUUUCUGUUGGCAUUGCAUGGAAAAUGUAGACGACCCCUACUUUAAGUCUUGCUUCAUUUUUUUAUUGCCAAAGUAUUUUUGUUUCAUCACAGUUAGACAAUGUAUCUUCCACCCAAAGGAAGACAUUUGGUUUAGCCCUUUCAAUCAUUCUCACAUUGAGACUGCCUCAAGUCCUUGAUAAGCUUGAUCAGAUUUUGAGUGUCUGUAUGCACAACUGUAAUAUUGAGUGAAAACAAUGACUUAUCUGAGGAAGAGUCCAGUGGCGUAAAUAUGCAUCCAGCAGAACCUUCAAACAUGUGCUGCCCUUCAUGGAGAAUCUUUUAAUUCUGCCAUUAGUAAAAUGCAUCCAGCAGAAUUAGAACAAUUGAAGAACGAAUUGAAGAUGCCGUAGCUGCUGCAACACUUGGUAUAAUCUCUUAUCAGUUGAUGUUGAAUGCAUGAGCUCUUGAAGUCGUUCUGUGUUCCCCAGUGAUGGCUGAAAUUAGAUGUGAACCAAUGAGAGAUUCAGGAUCAGGUGUACAUGUGCCUCUUAUCUCUUGCAAAUUGACAAUCUUGAAAUGGGAAGGAGUGAAGUUGUAGAAGUAGCAGCUUCUCCGAGGAAACCCAAAUUGUAAAAGUUAGUUUGUUGUUGUGGUAGUCAUUUUAGUUUGUUUAGUGAAAGCAUCUCCAAUGAAAGAACUUAUUGUAUUUAGAAUAGGUGAAUUCUAGUUUAGUCAUUGUGAAAGAUUGUAGUGACAAUUGUUUUGAAAGAGUAGUCAGUUUCUUAUCUUGUUUAAUGUAAUGACAAUUGUAAUGACCACUCUUUUUAUUAUGUUGUAAUGGAAAUUGAAAUGCAUUUUUUGCAGUGAAAAUUGACACUUA